UCGAGCGAACAGACGAGGAGCUUGCUUCUCUGACGUUAGCGGCGGACGGGUGAGUAACACGUGGAUAACCUACCUAUAAGACUGGGAUAACUUCGGGAAACCGGAGCUAAUACCGGAUAAUAUAUUGAACCGCAUGGUUCAAUAGUGAAAGACGGUUUUGCUGUCACUUAUAGAUGGAUCCGCGCCGCAUUAGCUAGUUGGUAAGGUAACGGCUUACCAAGGCAACGAUGCGUAGCCGACCUGAGAGGGUGAUCGGCCACACUGGAACUGAGACACGGUCCAGACUCCUACGGGAGGCAGCAGUAGGGAAUCUUCCGCAAUGGGCGAAAGCCUGACGGAGCAACGCCGCGUGAGUGAUGAAGGUCUUCGGAUCGUAAAACUCUGUUAUUAGGGAAGAACAAAUGUGUAAGUAACUAUGCACGUCUUGACGGUACCUAAUCAGAAAGCCACGGCUAACUACGUGCCAGCAGCCGCGGUAAUACGUAGGUGGCAAGCGUUAUCCGGAAUUAUUGGGCGUAAAGCGCGCGUAGGCGGUUUUUUAAGUCUGAUGUGAGAGCCCACGGCUCAACCGUGGAGGGUCAUUGGAAACUGGAAAACUUGAGUGCAGAAGAGGAAAGUGGAAUUCCAUGUGUAGCGGUGAAAUGCGCAGAGAUAUGGAGGAACACCAGUGGCGAAGGCGACUUUCUGGUCUGUAAC
rnacentral:rRNA from 1 species